AGCAGCCGCGGUAAUUCCAGCUCCAAUAGCGUAUAUUAAAGUUGUUGCAGUUAAAAAGCUCGUAGUUGAAUUUCGGGAUUGACACAUCGGUCGUGCCUUAAGGGGUAUGAACUGGUGUAGUCAAUUUCUCACCUUCUGGAGAACCGCGAUGCCCUUAAUUGGGUGUCACGGGGAACCAGGACCUUUACUUUGAAAAAAUUAGAGUGUUUAAAGCAGGCAUUUUGCUUGAAUACAUUAGCAUGGAAUAAUAAAAUAGGACGGCAUGAUUCUAUUUUGUUGGUUUCUAGGAUCACCGUAAUGAUUAAUAGGGAUAGUUGGGGGCAUUAGUAUUCAAUUGUCAGAGGUGAAAUUCUUGGAUUUAUUGAAGACUAACUACUGCGAAAGCAUUUGCCAAGGAUGUUUUCAUUAAUCAAGAACGAAAGUUAGGGGAUCGAAGACGAUCAGAUACCGUCGUAGUCUUAACCAUAAACUAUGCCGACUAGGAAUCAGACGAUGUUAAUUUUUUAAUGACUCGUUUGGC
rnacentral:sRNA from 1 species